GCUAUGUUCGGAAUGGAUAAGCACUGAAAGCAUCUAAGUGCGAAGCCAACUCCAAGAUGAGAUUUCUUUUAAGGGUCGUAGAAGAUUACUACGUUGAUAGGUCGCAGGUGUAAAGGUGGUGACAUCAAAGCCGAGCGAUACUAAUUGCCCGUUUACUUUCUAUUU
rnacentral:rRNA from 1 species